ensembl:rRNA 5S_rRNA 5S ribosomal RNA
GUCUAUGGCCAUACCACCUUGAAUGUACCCAAUCUUGUCUGAUCUAGGAAACUAAGCAGGAUCUGGCCUGGUUAGUACUUGGAUGGGAGACUACCCAGGAAUACCGAGUGGUUAGACU